GAUCCUGGCUCAGGAUGAACGCUAGCUACAGGCUUAACACAUGCAAGUCGAGGGGCAGCAUGGUCUUAGCUUGCUAAGGCCGAUGGCGACCGGCGCACGGGUGAGUAACGCGUAUCCAACCUGCCUUACACUCUUGGACAGCCUUCUGAAAGGGAGAUUAAUACAAGAUGUUAUCAUGAGUAAGCAUUUUCGCAUGAUUAAAGGUUUACCGGUGUAAGAUGGGAGUGUCGGUUCCUU
rnacentral:rRNA from 1 species